rnacentral:rRNA from 1 species
CGUAAGGCGCCGAAUGAGUCAUUAAAAAUAACAUCAUCCGAUCCCUAGUCGGCAUAGUUUAUGGUUAAGACUACGACGGUAUCUGAUCGUCUUCGAUCCCCUAACUUUCGUUCUUGAUUAAUGAAAACAUCCUUGGCAAAUGCUUUCGCAGUAGUUAGUCUUCAAUAAAUCCAAGAAUUUCACCUCUGACAAUUGAAUACUAAUGCCCCCAACUAUCCCUAUUAAUCAUUACGUCAAUCCUAGAAACCAACAAAAUAGGAUCGAACGUCCUAUUUCAUUAUUCCAUGCUAAUGUAUUCAAGCGUUAGCCUGCUUUAAACACUCUAAUUUUUUCAAAGUAACAGUCCAGUCUCCCCGCAACACCAAAUUAAUGGCAUUACGGUUCAUCAGGAAGGAGGAAUCAGUAAGACCAGUGCAUACCAGUGGCACGACCAAUCUACUAACCCCGAAAUUCAACUACGAGCUUUUUAACUGCAACAACUUUAAUAUACGCUAUUGAGCU